rnacentral:rRNA from 1 species
CUAUACUGCAAGUCGAGCGGACAGAAGGGAGCUUGCUCCCGGAUGUUAGCGGCGGACGGGUGAGUAACACGUGGGUAACCUGCCUGUAAGACUGGGAUAACUCCGGGAAACCGGAGCUAAUACCGGAUAGUUCCUUGAACCGCAUGGUUCAAGGAUGAAAGACGGUUUCGGCUGUCACUUACAGAUGGACCCGCGGCGCAUUAGCUAGUUGGUGAGGUAACGGCUCACCAAGGCGACGAUGCGUAGCCGACCUGAGAGGGUGAUCGGCCACACUGGGACUGAGACACGGCCCAGACUCCUACGGGAGGCAGCAGUAGGGAAUCUUCCGCAAUGGACGAAAGUCUGACGGAGCAACGCCGCGUGAGUGAUGAAGGUUUUCGGAUCGUAAAGCUCUGUUGUUAGGGAAGAACAAGUGCAAGAGUAACUGCUUGCACCUUGACGGUACCUAACCAGAAAGCCACGGCUAACUACGUGCCAGCAGCCGCGGUAAUACGUAGGUGGCAAGCGUUGUCCGGAAUUAUUGGGCGUAAAGGGCUCGCAGGCGGUUUCUUAAGUCUGAUGUGAAAGCCCCCGGCUCAACCGGGGAGGGUCAUUGGAAACUGGGAAACUUGAGUGCACAAGAGGAGAGUGGAAUUCCACGCGUAGCGGUGAAAUGNGUACAGAUGUGCAGGAACACCACUGGCGAAAG